rnacentral:rRNA from 1 species
GUAUAAGAGACAGCAGCAGCCACGGGAAUACGUAGGGUGCGAGCGUUAAUCGGAAUUACUGGGCGUAAAGCGUGCGCAGGCGGUUAUAUAAGACAGAUGUGAAAUCCCCGGGCUCAACCUGGGACCUGCAUUUGUGACUGUAUAGCUAGAGUACGGUAGAGGGGGAUGGAAUUCCACGUGUAGCAGUGAAAUGCGUAGAUAUGUGGAGGAAUACCGAUGUCGAAGGCAGCCCCCUGGGAUAACACUGACGCUCAUGCACGAAAGCGUGGGGAGCAAACAGGAUUAGAGACCCCGGUAGUCCCUGUCUCUUAUAC